GGUCGCAUGGUGUAGUGGCUAUCACGUCUCCUUUACACAUGUAAAACGGAGAAGGUCAGGAGUUCAAUCCUCCUUGUGGUGA